UCGGAAGGGCGGAGAAUCGCUCCGGGCGCAAGUCCGGGGAGGAAAGUCCGAACACCGCAGGGCGCGAUGCCGCGUAACCCGGUCUUCAGGCCGGGAUACACGCGGGAGAGAUCGGCGAAAGCCAUCUCGACGGACAGUGCCACAGAAAACAAACCGCCUGUUUGAGCAAUCAAACGGGUAAGGGUGAAAAGGCGGGGUAAGAGCCCACCGCUCCAAGCGUAAGCGCGGAGGCACGGAAAACCCCAUCGGGUGCAAGGCCAAAUAGGGGACCGAGGAGCGGCCCGCUCCGUGGCGAAAGCCAGGUUCCGGGUAUUGGCCGCUAAGACAAAUGAUUCUCUCCGUUCGCAAGAACGCAGACAAAA
rnacentral:RNase_P_RNA from 1 species